GAGCGAUCAUAAGGGAGCUGACUGCAAAUCUGCCGUCAUCGACUUCAAGGUUCGACUCGAGCAAUAGUGAGAGAACGUUGCCGCAGGCAACGGCCCGAAGAGUGAGGAGCUUUAGCUCCGAAUAAUCCUUCCCGCUAUAGAA
rnacentral:sRNA from 3 species